GCUGUGGCUCAGAGGGAGAGCACUUGUUUUACAUGCAGGAGGCCCCCGGUUCAAUCCCUGGCAUCUCCA